GGGCUGCAGUAUUUUGACUGUACAAAGGUAGCAUAAUCAAUAGUCUCUUAAUUGGUGACUUGUAUGAAAGAUUGGAUGAAAUAUAUACUGUCUCUGGUUAAUUUAUAGAAAUUAAUUUUUUAGUAAAAAAGCUAAAAUAAUUUUAAAAGACGAGAAGACCCUAUAGAGUUUAAUAAUUUAUUUAAUUAUUAUUAAUAUAUAAUUUUUAAAAUUAAAAUUAAAUAAAUUAUUUUGUUGGGGUGACAGAAAAAUUAAAUUAACUUUUUUUAAUUAUUUACAUUAAUUUAUGGUUAAAUGAUCCAUUUAUAAUGAUUAAAAGAAAAAAUUACCUUAGGGAUAACAGCGUAAUUUUUUUUUUUAGUUCAAAUAGGAAAAAAAGUUUGCGACCUCGAUGUUGGAUUAA
rnacentral:rRNA from 1 species